rnacentral:lncRNA from 1 species
UUAAGUUUCGAGUUUGUUUCGGAUAGGUCAUUUCUGUCAAUCUCCGUUAAGCCAAAGUUGUUAUGUCCGUUAAGCCAAAGCUGAUAUGUCUGUUAAGUAGGUGAGUUGGUUCUCUCUGACACUUGACAUCAAUUUUAACCCAACCAGGUCAACUUUGGCUUAACGGACAGAUCAACUUUGACUUAACGGAGGUUGAUAGAAAUGACCUAUCUGAAACAAACUCGAAACUUAA